rnacentral:tRNA from 1 species
AAGCCCUGUGGUGUAACCAUGUUAGAUUGCAAAUCUUUAGACGCGCGUUUAGACGCGCCGGGGCUU